UACGGAGGGUGCGAGCGUUGUCCGGAAUCAUUGGGCGUAAAGGGCGCGUAGGUGGCCCGGUCAGUCUUUGGUGAAAGCGCGGGGCUCAACCCUGCGUCGGCCAGGGAUACUGCCGCGGCUCGAGCACUGUAGAGGCAGGCGGAAUUCCGGGUGUAGCGGUGGAAUGCGUAGAGAUCCGGAAGAACACCGGUGGCGAAGGCGGCCUGCUGGGCAGUAGCUGACGCUGAAGCGCGACAGCGUGGGGAGCAAACAGG
rnacentral:rRNA from 1 species